rnacentral:hammerhead_ribozyme from 1 species
AUCCAGCUGACGAGUCCCAAAUAGGACGAAACGUGUUUCAAACUGGAU